rnacentral:rRNA from 1 species
CCUACGGGUGGCAGCAGUGAGGAAUAUUGGUCAAUGGACGAGAGUCUGAACCAGCCAAGUAGCGUGAAGGAUGACUGCCCUAUGGGUUGUAAACUUCUUUUAUAUGGGAAUAAAACGUUCCACGUGUGGGAUUUUGUAUGUACCAUAUGAAUAAGGAUCGGCUAACUCCGUGCCAGCAGCCGCGGUAAUACGGAGGAUCCGAGCGUUAUCCGGAUUUAUUGGGUUUAAAGGGAGCGUAGGUGGAUUGUUAAGUCAGUUGUGAAAGUUUGCGGCUCAACCGUAAAAUUGCAGUUGAAACUGGCAGUCUUGAGUACAGUAGAGGUGGGCGGAAUUCGUGGUGUAGCGGUGAAAUGCUUAGAUAUCACGAAGAACUCCGAUUGCGAAGGCAGUUCACUGGACUGCAACUGACACUGGGGCUCGAAAGUGUGGGUAUCAAACAGGAUUAGAUACCCUUGUAGUC